rnacentral:rRNA from 1 species
AUGGGGAUUGGAGCUAUAACCGCGAAUUAUGUAAAUGCUCACUCACCUAGAGCAAAGAGAAAGAAUGAAGGAUGGUGCAGACCUCCAAUAGGGUUUGUUAAAUUGAAUGUGGAUGCUUCUUUUGAUCAUGAUCAGCUACGGGGCACAGCGGGUGCUGUUAUCAGAGAUGAUAAAGAAAACUUCAUAGUAGGUGGUAAUUGGAAGAUUCAGUACUGUGCGGAUGCUCUGACAGCGGAGGCGUUAGCCGUCAGGUUUGGUUUACUGUUGGCACAAAAAACGGGCUGCAAUCGUCUCAUUAUCAAUUCAGAUAAUAUGGAAGUCAUUGACACAAUGAAGAACGGUGGAGAGUCUGCGGGAGCAGCAGCGUUUUGAGGAUUGUUUUUCAUGGCCUGUGAUUUUCCACAAACCAGUUUUGAACAUUGUAACAGAGAAGCUUACAAAGUAGCUAAUGAGCUUUCUAGAUUAGCAAAAUGUUCCACAACUAGGGAUUGGAUAGAGGAGCCCAUGGUAAAUCUUGUAACUCUUCUGAUAGACGAUGUAACCAUUAUCUCUAAUUAA